rnacentral:rRNA from 1 species
GUGUCAGCCGCCGCGGUAAUACGUAGGGUGCGAGCGUUAAUCGGAAUUACUGGGCGUAAAGCGUGCGCAGGCGGUUUUGUAAGACAGGCGUGAAAUCCCCGGGCUCAACCUGGGAACUGCGCUUGUGACUGCAAGGCUAGAGUACGGCAGAGGGGGGUGGAAUUCCACGUGUAGCAGUGAAAUCCGUAGAUAUUCGAAGGAACACCGGUGGCGAAGGCGGCUACCUGGACCGAUACUGACGCUGAGACGCGAAAGCGUGGGGAGCAAACAGGAUUAGAUACCCUGGCAGUCCACGCCCUAA